rnacentral:rRNA from 1 species
CCCCACUGCUAUCGGGAUGGGACUAAGACAUGCUAGUCGUGCGUCUCCAAGCCAUGGCGGAGACGCGGCGCACAGCUCAGUAACACGUGGCUAACCUGCCCUUAGGACAGGGACAACCCCGGGAAACUGGGGCUAAUCCCUGAUAGGUGAGGGUUCCUGGAAUGGGCCCUCGCCGAAAGGGCGCCUAGACCAUGCUUCUAGGUGCUGCCCAAGGAUGGAGCCGCGGCCGAUCAGGUUGUUGGUGAGGCAACGGCUCACCAAGCCUUUAACCGGUACGGGCCGUGAGAGCGGGAGCCCGGAGAUGGGUACUGAGACAAGGACCCAGGCCCUACGGGGCGCAGCAGUCGCGAAAACUCCGCAAUACGCGAAAGCGUGACGGGGCUACCCCGAGUGCCGUCCGCUGAGGAUGGCUUUUCCCUAGUGUAUAAAGCUGGGGGAAUAAGGAGAGGGCAAGCCUGGUGUCAGCCGCCGCGGUAAUACCAGCUCUCCGAGUGGUGGGGAUGCUUAUUGGGCCUAAAGCAUUCGUAGCCGGUUGGGCAAGUCCUCCGUUAAAUCCAGCGAUUCAAUCGUUGGACUGCGGGGGAUACUGUCCGGCUUGGGGGCGGAAGAGGCCGACGGUAUUCUCGGGGUAGGGGUGAAAUCCUAUAAUCCCGGGAGGACCACCAGUGGCGAAGGCUGUCGGCUAGAACGCGCCCGGCGGUGAGGGAUGAAAGCUGGGGGAGCGAACCGGAUUAGAUACCCGGGUAGUCCCAGCUGUAAACGAUGCAGGCUAGGUGUUGGCGCGGCUACGUGCCGCUCCAGUGCCGCAAGGAAGCCGCUAAGCCUGCCGCCUGGGAAGUACGGCCGCAAGGCUGAAACUUAAAGGAAUUGGCGGGGGAGCACCACAAGGGGUGAAGCUUACGGUUU